ACAUGAUUUUGAAUAGUCGACACCACUUUUGAUUUUGAUUAGGAGGCAGAAGAUGAACCUACCAAUCAAGUUUGAUCCACAUAGAAAAAUUGGGAGAAGAAAACAUUUCGGAAUCGUAUCACCAUUAAUCAUCUUGAAGACUGCCCAAGGGUAGACAGAAUUCAACUUUCUUAUUGCUGUUCAGCUAUGGACAGCUGUGGAAUAAUAGCUAAGGUUGAGGGCGAGAAUAAGGCUUCAAUUGAUAAGUUACCGUCUUGUAUUUUGUCACACAUACUUUCAUUUUUACCAAUAAAAGAUGCUGUGGAUACUUUGCAUGUUAUCCCAGCAGUGGAGACACCUUUGGAAGCAUCCAAUACUGACAACGCCCAAUCUUGAUUCUUGAGUUUGACAUUCUAAACAUUUUUGGAUACAAUUAUGCUCAGCUCGUUAAAGAAUGUGGAGCAUACAAAUUUAAUAUGCGUCAACUCGAGAGACAAAGCUCUGUGUUUGUGAGACGUGUGAAUGAAAUAUUGCUGCUCUACAAUCGUAAGAAGG